AAUUAGGAGAUAACUGUAUUGUAUUUUAAGCUCCGACGGCAUCAAUUGGGGAUUUGAUGGUCGCAAAUUAAGUUUACUGGCGACGCGUUAGCGGAGACAGUAAACGGGUAUUUGCGACCAUCAAAUCCCAAAUUGAUGCCGUCGGAGCUUAAAAUACAAUAUUGUUAUCUCCAUUCUAAUGAAACUGACAGAAAACAACGUUAAAACAUGUAUUUAAAAUCUGUCAUAUGCCGUCUGCGCUUGCGCGUACGUCCCAUAGCAUCAAUUGUCAAUUGAUGCCAUGUAAGAAAGUGACGUUAUCCAAUCAAAAUGAACGUUACAAACGUUGUUGCAUUAGAAUGAACAUUGAAUAGAAAA
rnacentral:lncRNA from 1 species